rnacentral:rRNA from 1 species
CAGUAGCCGCGGGAAUACGAAGGGGGCUAGCGUUGCUCGGAAUCACUGGGCGUAAAGGGUGCGUAGGCGGGUCUUUAAGUCAGGGGUGAAAUCCUGGAGCUCAACUCUGGAACUGCCUUUGAUACUGGGUAUCUUGAGUAUGGAAGAGGUGAGCGGAAUUCCGAGUGUAGAGGUGAAAUUCGUAGAUAUUCGGAGGAACACCAGUGGCGAAGGCGGCUCACUGGUCCAUUACUGACGCUGAGGUGCGAAAGCGUGGGGAGCAAACAGGAUUAGAUACCCCCGUAGUCCCUGUCUCUUAUAC